CUAAUACAUGCAAGUCGAGCGGACUGAUGGGAGCUUGCUCCCUGAUGUUAGCGGCGGACGGGUGAGUAACACGUGGGCAACCUGCCUGUAAGACUGGGAUAACUCCGGGAAACCGGGGCUAAUACCGGAUAACCCGUUCCACCUCAUGGUGGAGCGGUAAAAGAUGGCCUCUGGCUAUCACUUACAGAUGGGCCCGCGGCGCAUUAGCUAGUUGGUAAGGUAACGGCUUACCAAGGCGACGAUGCGUAGCCGACCUGAGAGGGUGAUCGGCCACACUGGGACUGAGACACGGCCCAGACUCCUACGGGAGGCAGCAGUAGGGAAUCUUCCGCAAUGGACGAAAGUCUGACGGAGCAACGCCGCGUGAGUGAUGAAGGUUUUCGGAUCGUAAAGCUCUGUUGUUAGGGAAGAACAAGUGCCGUUUGAAUAAGGCGGCACCUUGACGGUACCUAACCAGAAAGCCACGGCUAACUACGUGCCAGCAGCCGCGGUAAUACGUAGGUGGCAAGCGUUGUCCGGAAUUAUUGGGCGUAAAGCGCGCGCAGGCGGUCUCUUAAGUCUGAUGUGAAAGCCCACGGCUCAACCGUGGAGGGUCAUUGGAAACUGGGAGACUUGAGUACAGAAGAGGAGAGUGGAAUUCCACGUGUAGCGGUGAAAUGCGUAGAUAUGUGGAGGAACACCAGUGGCGAAGGCGACUCUCUGGUCUGUAACUGACGCUGAGGCGCGAAAGCGUGGGGAGCAAACAGGAUUAGAUACCCUGGUAGUCCACGCCGUAAACGAUGAGUGCUAGGUGUUAGGGGUUUCGAUGCCCUUAGUGCCGAAGUUAACACAUUAAGCACUCCGCCU
rnacentral:rRNA from 1 species